rnacentral:rRNA from 1 species
AUUGAACGCUGGCGGCAGGCCUAACACAUGCAAGUCGAACGCGUGGCGGACGCGUGAGUAUUGUCUGGGAAACUGUCCGUUGGAGGGGGGUAAAUAUUGGGAACGCUAUCUAUUAUCGCCCACCACCGCAUGUGCCCAGAUGGGAUUAGCUAGUAGGGGGGGUAACGGCUCACCUAGGCGACGAGCCCUAGCUGGUCUGAGAGGAUGACCAGCCACACUGGAACUGAGACACGGUCCAGACUCCUACGGGAGGCAGCAGUGGGGAAUAUUGCACAAUGGGCGCAAGCCUGAUGCAGCCAUGCCGCGUGUAUGAAGAAGGCCUUCGGGUUGUAAAGUACUUUCAGCGAGGAGGCGUUACUCGCAGAAGAAGCACCGGCUAACUCCGUGCCAGCAGCCGCGGUAAUUC